rnacentral:rRNA from 1 species
GACGAACGCUGGCGGCGUGCCUAACACAUGCAAGUCGAGCGGGGAUUUAUCGAUGAAGUUUUCGGAUGGAUUUGAUAAAUUCUAGCGGCGGACGGGUGAGUAACGCGUGAGCAACCUGCCUAUCACUGGGGAAUAACGCAGCGAAAGUUGUGCUAAUACCGCAUGAGACCACAAGAUCGCAUGGUCAAGGGGUCAAAGAUUUAUCGGUGAUAGAUGGGCUCGCGUCUGAUUAGCUAGUUGGUGAGGUAACGGCCCACCAAGGCGACGAUCAGUAGCCGACCUGAGAGGGUGAUCGGCCACAUUGGAACUGAGAAACGGUCCAAACUCCUACGGGAGGCAGCAGUGAGGAUAUUGGUCAAUGGUCGAGAGACUGAACCAGCCAAGUAGCGUGAAGGAUGACUGCCCUACGGGUUGUAAACUUCUUUGUUUGGGAAUAAUGAUACUACGUGUAGUAUUUGCAUGUACCUUA